AGGGUUGUGGCUCAGUGGUAGAGUGCUUGCCUCACAUGUGUGAGGCACUGGGUUCAAUUCUCAGCACCGCAU
rnacentral:tRNA from 1 species